UACGUAGGGUGCAAGCGUUGUCCGGAAUUAUUGGGCGUAAAGAGCUCGUAGGCGGUUUGUCGCGUCUGCUGUGAAAAUCCAGGGCUUAACCCUGGACCUGCAGUGGGUACGGGCAGACUAGAGUGCGGUAGGGGAGAUCGGAAUUCCUGGUGUAGCGGUGAAAUGCGCAGAUAUCAGGAGGAACACCGGUGGCGAAGGCGGAUCUCUGGGCCGUAACUGACGCUGAGGAGCGAAAGCAUGGGAGCGAACAGGA
rnacentral:rRNA from 1 species